GCACCCGUAGCUCAGAUGGAUAGAGCGCAACUUUGCGGGGCUUGAGGUCGGGGGUUCGAAUCCCUCCGGGUGUA
rnacentral:tRNA from 1 species